UCUUUUUUUUUUUUUCAUCCGACAAUUUCAUCUUGAGCAUGCAGAGCUGCUUGGUCUGGGAGGGAAAUGAUGCUUUCUCAUCAGUCCCUCUUUUUCUCUAUCAUCAUCAGUAUCCUGACAUGGCAAGGUGUUCCUUAACUCCCCUGUGGAGCCCCCUUAGCACAGCUGGGACAAUCGAGUGUUCAGCACCACGGACAGCAUUACAACCCAUUCAGCACUUGUUGAAGUCAUUUGUCCAUUUCUCUCUCAGGUGCAACUGAAUGAAAAUGCCAGCCUUGUAGAAUGAUUGUGGAGUGUCAUCAUAGAGUGGUGGGAAGAACACAAGAGAGUGACAAAGAUUGUGUACGUUAUCCCUCAACCUCUGUACAAAUGGACGUCAACUUCAGAAAAGAUGACAGACUCUCUUGGGGAAGCACUAUGAAAGACGAAACAUUUUUAUCCAUAGGAGACUUAUCAUUGUCUAAAGAAAGAAUAUCAGAGGAAAGAGAAUCUUCAGCAAAGGAAGGAAAUGGGAGAAAGAAGGGCACACUGGUUGUGCCUACUGAAGCAAAGACCACUGAGGACAACUCUGCUGCUGAUGUACUUUCCCUUCUGCUAAAGAACUCUGCCUUUGCCUUCUUCUGUCUCCUGUUUGCAUGGCCAGCUUCUUCAUUCCAUUUAUGUUUCUGAUAAGGAAGGAUACCUUUCUUUUUUGUUAUCUUCAAUGUGUUAAAGACACUUGUAUCGUCCCAAGACAGUUGCCACACCUCUAAACAUCAUGUUUCCAUAUGAAAUGUUCCAAACAGAAAGGAAAGUGCAUGGGGUAGGGGAGGGUUUCACUUGAGGCAUCUGUCUUCCUUUCAGGGCAAAAAAAAAUCUUUUCCAAAGGACUUAAUGGACUUCCCUUUACAUCUCAGUGCCAGGACGUGUAUGAUAUGACUACCCCUAGCUGCAAGGGAAGCUAAGAAACUUUGUACAGGGAAAACAAUUAUGUUCUUUAAAGUGAUACACCAAAAAUAACAAAGUUAAGAGCAGACCACUAAACUUUACAUAAAGACUAUAAAAAUUACUAUGUUAAAAAAUACUAAAACAGGGGCUGGGGUUAUGGCUCAGUGGCAGAAUACUUGCCAGGACACAUGUGAGGCACUGGGUUCAAUCCUUAGCACCACAUAAAA